UACAGAGGUGGCAAGCGUUGUUCGGAAUUACUGGGCGUAAAGCGCGUGUAGGCGGGUCUUUAAGUCAGGGGUGAAAUGCCAAGGCUCAACCUUGGAACUGCCUUUGAUACUGGAGAUCUUGAGUCCGGGAGAGGUGAGUGGAAUUGCGAGUGUAGAGGUGAAAUUCGUAGAUAUUCGCAAGAACACCAGUGGCGAAGGCGGCUCACUGGCCCGGAACUGACGCUGAGACGCGAAAGCGUGGGGAGCAAACAGG
rnacentral:rRNA from 1 species